CCGAUGGAGGGGGGUAACUACUGGAAACGGUAGCUAAUACCGCAUAACGUCGCAAGACCAAAGAGGGGGACCUUGGGCCUCUUGCCAUCGGAUGUGCCCAGAUGGGAUUAGCUAGUAGGUGGGGUAAAGGCUCACCUAGGCGACGAUCCCUAGCUGGUCUGAGAGGAUGACCAGCCACACUGGAACUGAGACACGGUCCAG
rnacentral:rRNA from 1 species